AUGGCUCCCCCUACGUCGUCCUCGUCUCCGAUGCCGGUUAUGGACGCACGAAUGAGGCUGAUAAUCCAGGCAGCAGCACUGAUUAGUGUGAUUCAGGCAUGGGUCAUGUUCAUGCACCAGAGAGUUGUUCGUCAUGCUGGGAGACCGUUGAUCCACUAUGGUCCAUUGUUUCCCCGGGAACAGGAGAGGAUCCAAAAUCUGAACUACAUCUACAACUGCAAUGACGUCGAGGCUCUGUGGAUGCUUAGAAUGAAAAGAGCACCAUUUUCCAGGCUUGUCGAGACCUUCAGGAGCAGGGGCUUGUUACAAGAUAGCAUCAACACCAGUGUCGAAGAGCAAGUGGCCAUGUUCCUCCAUGUUGUUGGCCAUAACCAGAGGUUCAGGGUCAUUCACAACACGUUCAGGAGAUCAAUGGAGACCAUCUCUAGGUACUUCAAGCAGGUGCUUUUUGCUGUUGGGGAGCUUAGAGGAGAGAUGAUCAGGAGACCAUAA
rnacentral:rRNA from 1 species